CCAUGUUUCAGAAGGUUCCUCUUUAAUCUCUCUUAUUUUGUUUUGUAUCUUAGAUUAAUGUGUUUUUUAGUUUAAUUUUUGAAAUUGGCUUUUAUUUUUUUGCUUUUUUUUAGAUGUAAAAGUUUAAUUCGUUCAUGGAUUUCGUAGGGGUGAGUGAUUACUUAGUAGGUUGGUGUUUAUAAUGAUGCUUUGUGUUAAAAAUUGUUUCAUUUUAAUCAUUGAAUGAUUACUGAUUUGUUUAUGAGUGUACAUGGUUGGUGGUGAUGGUUGAUGAAUCCUUUUGUUUUUUUUUGUUUUAGGUCCAAAUAGCUUGUUUAUUAAUGUAAUUGGAUGAAAUUGUUUUUGUUUACGAGUGUACUUAGAUAAAGUUAAUUAGAUUGUUGCUGGGGAAUGAUAAAAAUGUGUUUUUUAUUUUUUGUUUUUAUGAUAGAAAUAUUUUGUUGUUCGCUGCUAUCGCGAGUUUCAUUGCUGUAUUCUUUUUGAAUUAGCUACAUUAUUAUUGUAAUUAUAGUUUGGCAGAUGUUUGUCAAUGAAUGACGAAAAGACCUGUCUUAGCAUCGUAUUAUGUUCCAGAAAGAGAAAAGAACGUGGGCAUUAAUGUCAAUAAAAGAGAAACUUGUAAUAGACGGUUGAAUCCUGAAACAGAAAGAGCAGGAGAGAAGGGUAUCAAAUGAAGAAAGUGAAGAUUCGGUGAAAAUUAGAGAGGUUUUUGGAUUUGGAUUUCAAAGAUGAUUAGAAUGGGUAAAGCAGAAGGCACUUGGGGCUUCAUUUUUAUGGCUUAUCUGUUAGAUUUAUUUCACUCAGGUUUCUUUAUCGUUUCUUUUUGGCCUCUGUGAUGAAUGCAUGAGCUUUAUUGGAUCAAAUUUGAUUAAUUAUAUAGGAAGUUGAUCUUUUGGCCUUUUUUUUGUGAAAUGGGUUGUUUUAUCCUUUGAUGAGAAGAAAGAGGGGAUGUUAAAGUCUGUAACUUUGUUGUUUUUGUGGGUUUGUUUAUUUUUGAGUUUCCUAGGGGUGAUUUUGUCGUUUUAGAAAUUUAGAUGGCAGUGAUGUUGUUAAGGAAUUUAUUGCUCUUUUGCUGAUUUUUUGAGAAUGUUGUUGGCUUGUAGCUUGGUUGGCAUUUUGAAGUUAGCUUUAUUGCUUUUUUAAAGCAACAUUUCUCCUGGUUUUUGCUCUUAAGAAAUGAACAAAAUAAGAAAAAGCAAGUUCUUACAUGCGGAAUUGCUCUGUUCAAUUUUCUUGAUAGAUCUGUGGGGCAACCUCAAGAACAAAGGGAGAUAAGAAACUGUUUGCAUUGAAAUACUGAUUUUAUAGAGAAAGUAUCUGCUGUUUUGUAGAGGAGUGGUAAUUUCCUAAUGGAAUAGCAGUUUUGGCAACUCCGUUAUACUGCUGUUUUAAACAUCCAAAAUGAAUUUUGUCUGACUGCAUCCCAAUUAAGGUAAGGAGAAGGAUACCAUACCUAGUAAUUGCAUCCCUGCUCUCUCUUCUGCCCUGGCCUAUUCUAGGCCUAAAUUUAACCUUGAGGAGUUCCCAAUGGCAUCUCACGAUCGUCUUGACAGUGCAGAACCUGGGCUCUGCUAUGGCAGAUGUUGUGGUUGAUGCAAUGAUUGCUGAGGGCUACGUUUUCGUGUUUAUAUAAGAGCUUACAGAUGCCAUUAAACAGGGCUACGUUUGCUGGAGAUCUGCAGUCCAUAUCUUGGCUGUCAAUGGCUUUGGGUGGAAUCUGGGGCAGUUUGUUAUGAGGACAUGCAUUGAACAACUUACCAAUAGAUAAGAUUUUCCUUCGUUUUUCUGUACUGCCAGCCAUACAGUUAUUAUCAUGUGGUUUGGUUGGGGAGAAUUCUGCAGAUAGUAAAUUUUAUCCCGAGUCUGCCAAUUCAAGCAACUCCCAUCCUGUCAAUGGGAAUGGUAGUAUUUCAGACGAAGAUAGUAUCUUGUUUAAGAGGUCCAAUACAACUACUUCAAGAAGAAAGAAGAGCCAAAAGAAGGGAAAAAACGAGGGCUAGAUAAGAGUACUAAAUCCCAGAUUCCUGAGAAGGGUGUUUCCUUAAUAUCACGGUGGUUCCGCUCUCUGAAAACAGCUACUUAUAGCUUGUUACGUUCUUUUAGGCAGCCAGUAAUUUUGAGGUUACAGUUCCAAACCUCUCAACAGUCAUGUUCUAUUACCAGACAGAGGUCUUGAACUUGGAUGCAUCCUUUUUGGGGACUGCACUGUUGUUGGAUGGUUAGGCCUCAUGCUAGGAACCAUUGCGUACAAUCGCUAAUUAAAGACCAUGAAACUACGGAAGAUUCUCCUGUGGGCUCACAUUGGGUUGUCUUUGUUGACCCUCCUAGAUAUAAUUUUAGUGUCUCGAGUGAAUCUUGCCUGCAGAAUUUCAGACAAGAUCUUGGUCAUCUCUGGAUCUGCCCUUGCUGAUGCUAUUAAUCAAUUCAAGUGCAAUAAUGUUUUUCUAAUUCCCUAGCUUUUCUAUUGAUAUAUUUUGAAGUUAAUGCUUGUAUUCCACUCAGAACGAAGAAAAAAGAGGCUUGAUUUUGGAUUCCAGAUCCAGAAAUCAUCUGCAAGUCCCAUAAGAAAAAGAAAAAAAGAAAUCAUCUACAUGUACCUCAAGAUGUUCAUGCAUUUAUGGAUGCACGCGCGCGCAAAUUUGUGCUCAUAUAUAAUUCUUCACACAUCACGCAUCUGUCCAUAAUCCUUGAAUGUUCCAAACCAAACGAGUAACUUUUGUUUCCUCACAUUUCGCGCCAUAUUAUGCAGGUUCAUGCCACAGUUAGGCCCGCUCUUCUAUUUUUGAUACCAAAAGAAGCCACAGGGAUAUCAGCAUAGGCAGGGAAUAGAAUUCAUUUUCCCAGUACAAGAAUUGAUUGCUUAGUAACUGUAGAUUGAACUGAAAUAUUGUUUCUGCCGAGUAGUGUAGUGGCUGAGAUACACGAAGGGCGCUCUUGAGGAUUGAAAGACAUAGGUGCCUUUGAUUUAUAGUUCUCAAAUUAACCUUUGGUUUUGCUG